rnacentral:rRNA from 1 species
UGGGGAAUAUUGCACAAUGGGGGAAACCCUGAUGCAGCAACGCCGCGUGAAGGAUGAAGGUUUUCGGAUCGUAAACUUCUUUGAUGAGGGACGAAUAAUGACGGUACCUCAAAAACAAGCCACGGCUAACUACGUGCCAGCAGCCGCGGUAAUACGUAGGUGGCGAGCGUUGUCCGGAUUUACUGGGUGUAAAGGGCGUGUAGGCGGGAAUGUAAGUCAGAUGUGAAACUCCGGGGCUCAACUUCGGAACUGCAUCUGAAACUAUGUUUCUUGAGUGCUGGAGAGGAAAGCGGAAUUCCUAGUGUAGCGGUGAAAUGCGUAGAUAUUAGGAGGAACACCAGUGGCGAAGGCGGCUUUCUGGACAGUAACUGACGCUGAGGCGCGAAAGCGUGGGGAGCAAACAGG